rnacentral:rRNA from 1 species
AUUGAACGCUGGCGGCAGGCCUAACACAUGCAAGUCGAGCGAGCGGCGGACGGGUGAGUAAUGUAUGGGGACUGCCCGAUAGAGGGGGUUAACUCCUGGAAACGCUAGCUAAUACCGCAUAUUAUCGGAUAACCCAUAGGGGAUUAGCUAGUAGGGGGGGUAAUGGCUCACCUAGGCGACGAUCUCUAGCUGGUCUGAGAGGAUGAUCAGCCACACUGGAACUGAGACACGGCCCAGGCUCCUACGGAGGCAGAAGUGGGGAAUAUUGGACAAUGGGCGCAAGCCUGAUGCAGCCAUGCCGGGUGUAUGAAGAAGGCCCUGGGGUUGUAAAGUACUUUCAGUGGGGAGGCGUUACCGACAGAAGAAGCACCGGCUAACUCCGGGCCAGCAGCCGCGGUAAUUC